GUCCUCGUGACGGGGGUUCACCGUAAUCAGAGCCUCACUCAGGGAAUCCUUUCUGUCGGAAAAAUACCCCCACUCGGAGUCACCCUAUCCCUCCUCUGUCGGGAACGACUCUGAAAUCCCGCCAUGACGGACAGGAUCCCGACCGCUCGUGAAUCUAACAAAGAGCAGGGUGAUGGAAACACCUUGAGAGAGACGUGAGCGUGACUGUAGGUUUCUGUGGGGGUUGAUACAGUGGGAAUCUGAGCUCUGCCGUCUCCAGAGACCUUCCUCGUGUGAUUAGUCUGCUUCAUUUUCAACAUUUAAUAGACCAUGUCACGCAGCCUUCAGAGCACAAGCCAGCGUUGCCAUUCGCAACCACAACUAAACAGAUGCGGCGAGUGGGACGCCAACACCUGGACCUCGUCUCUGAUCAUCAAAGGAGGAUGCGAAGGGACGCUGCUAUCCCAGCAUGCUGAGCCGUGACCUCAUUACAGGGCUGCCAGUGACCAAAAGUUGUCACAGAGCAGGGACAUUCUCUGUUUCCAGUCUUUUGGAACGCUGUCUGGAGGGUUUAGGAUGUUUUACAGGAACAUUGUGUGCACCUGGUCUCAUGAAAUGUUUCUUUGGCCAUUAUACAGCCUUGAAAAGCAAUUAGCAGGAGUAAUGAUUCCCACGAGGAGACUGCUCAGAUCAUCACAUAAAACAAUGUUUUCUCCAAACAUUAAUACGUCUGAAUGGUUGGACAUCAGACCACAUUAUUAUUAUUAUUAUUGUUGUUAUUUGUAGUUAUGCAUUGUAACAUGGUCGUGAUUCAAGACAUUUCAAGUUCCUAAAGUGGCAUGCUGUACUGCAUUUAAAAGAAAUGAGAGCCUUUUCAUUUCAUAAAUAUUAAUGCACGCUGUUGUUAUGAAUAUUUAAAGAUUUUUAAAUCUUUGUAAUGUCUCUUAUGCUCACUGAGGCUGCAAAAGUACACUGCAAAAUGACCAUUUAA